GAAAGAAACAAGGUGGGUUUUCGAGACAUCCAUUGUUUUAAUAUGGCAAUGCUGACAAAAAAGGUUUGGCACCUUCUUGAGAACCCCGAUUCUUUAUGUGCCACUGUUUUGAGAGCGAAGUAUUUUCCUUAUGGUGAUUUAUUGAAUACAAUGCAAGUGUUUUAUGGCGUGUUUGGUUGCCUGCAUAUGGCCCAGCCUGGCCCGCGUGGGAAGAAAGUGGCAUGUUUGGUUGCCUGCGUUUACUGUGCGACCCACAUGGCACGAACCUUAAAGCACCUCCAUGCCAAGCCCAGGGGAAAUGCCCGAGUCGGCAGUAGCUCGUGA
rnacentral:rRNA from 1 species